GCCGGGCGUGGUGGCGCAUGCCUGUAAUCCCAGCUACUUGGGAGGCUGAGGCAGGAGAAUUGCUUGAACCCGGGAGACAGAGGUUGCAGUGAGCUGAGAUCGCACCACUGCGUUCCAGCCUGGGUGACAGAGUGAGACUCUGUCUCAA
ensembl:misc_RNA Metazoa_SRP Metazoan signal recognition particle RNA